rnacentral:rRNA from 1 species
AUGGCGGAGCUGGCGACGGGCGCCGUGACCACGCUACUGGGGGUGAUCAGCCAUGAGGCAGUGAGGCUCGGCCGCGUCCGACGCGACGUGCAGUUCAUCCAAGAGGAGAUGGAGAGCAUGGGCAGCUUCCUGGCCAACCUGUCCGGGAGCAGCCGCGAGCACGACGAGCAGGUCCGCACCUGGAUGAAUCAGGUUCGGAUCCUCGCCAACGAUUGCAACAACUGCAUCGACCUCUACCUCUACCGUGGCGACCCCGGAUUCCACCGGCCCAGGGGGGGCCUUCGCCUCUACCUCUGGUGGGCUCCCUGGCUGCUGCGCAAGCUGCUCGCGCAGCACCGAGCAGCCGGCCAUCUGAGGGAGCUCAAGGACCGGGCACAAGACAUUGGAAAUCGCCGAUUGAGGUAUGGCGUCGAGGUCAAAACGGCGGAGUUGUCAUCAUCUUCGGGUGCUGGUGUUGGGCUCACGGAGCCAUUGUUGCUGCCGGCCACACAAGACCAUGAAGAAGACGACGACGACCAAGACGGAGUGGAUCCACUCAAGGUGGCCUUGUCCAUGACUACUAUGAGUAUGACAAUGGACAUGGAUGAGUACUUUAGGACGAGGUUAGACCACUGGAUCGGAUCGGUGGUGCAGGCGGAGGCAGGGGCGGUGGCGGCGGAGGAAGACAUAAUGCCAGAAUCGUCGACCGGAUCAAACCCAUUACUACCAUGCAUCGUCUUUGUGGUAACCAAACCCGAGGAUGCUGACGCUCUUGGGCGUAAAGCCCUGGCCGUGGCAGAAGCCCAUUUGAAGCGGGUAGAGGACGCCCAUGAUAAGGUGGUUGUCCCACCGGAUGGCGCCCUUGCGCAUGAAGUUAAGGCUGUUGUGCCAUCGGAGACCAACGACUCCGACCCUCUUGUGCAUCAAGAUAAGGCGGCAGGACCAUCGGAGACCAAGGACGUCUGUGCUCUUGCAAAUGAAGAUAAUGAGGUUGUGCCAUCGGAGACCAAGGACACUGGCACUCUCCGCACAAAGACAAGGCAAUGCCAUUGGAGACCAAGGACGUCGGCGCUCUUGCGCACGAAGAUAAGGCGUUUGUGCCACCCAAGACCAAGGACAAUAGCACUCUUGUGCAUCAAAAUAAGGCGGCUAUGCCACCGGAGGCCAAGGACGGCAGUGCCACCGGAGACCAAGGACGUUAGUGCUCCUAUGGAUGAAGCUGAGGUGGAUGUGCCACCGGAGACCAAGGACCAAGAGAAGACAGUUGUGCCACCAAUGACCAAGGACGCGGGCGCCUAUGCGCCUGGAGAUAAGGCUAUGCCACUGGAGAACAAGGAUGUCAGCACUCUUGUGCACCAAGAUAAGGUUAUGCCACCAGAGACCAAGCACACUACCGACCUUGCCCAUGAAGAUAAGGUUGUGCCACCGGAGAUCAACGAUCCCAGCGCCGUUGUGCAUGAAGAUAAGGUUGUGCCACCGGAGACCAGGGAUGCCGACGCUAUAGCACAGGUUGUAGCACCGCGGAAUGUCCUUGUCUUGGUCGACAUCUCGGCGGUGCAUUUCGACUUUGUACCGCUACGGCCCUACAGGAUUCUCUGCUACAUCCUGCGUCAACUCAACCGGCAGCAAGGCACGACUCCUCCUACAACAAAAUGGGGUACUUAUGAUUACAUAAAGAGGAUGCUUCGUGCCAUCAAGGACGAGAUAAAAGAAAUCAAGGUCGACAAAACAAUUGAAGACAUCAAUUGCAACCUUGUGGAUGGUAAAGACCUGAUAAAACCAAAGGAGGAUGGAAAGGAUCUUGAAAAAAAAGUCACCAAUAAACCAUUGGGGCAACUCCUCUCGCUGCUCAUCUACUGCUCAACGACGACUGCAGCUGAAAAGGAAGACAAAAAGAAGAAAGCCAUGAUAGCAGAAGUGUACGAUGUCAUCAUCAAGCAAACAGCCAAGAAGCUUAAAAGGAAAAUAGAAGCAGGCGGCUCAAAUACAAAGCAACUCAAGGAGCCCGAAUAUGAAGACAUCCUAUGGAAGGUGUUCCCAAGGCCAAGCAGCAUCAGAACCAUCGCUACAAAUGGUACUCCUGGCACACUGGUCGAGGAUGAAAUCAAAGAUAUAGUCAAAGAGGUUAAAGGAAUGUUGCAUGAGCUGCGGGAAUUAGACAAAUCUGAGAAGAACCAAGAGACAGGCAGUGAACCAGCUCAAACUGAGGAAGAUUAUUUCAAAAAAACCAUAAAGAACAAGAAAGAAGAAAUCGAAUGGAAGAUUACGAAGCAACUGAUGGUUAAAAGGAUCGUGGAAAAGAUUCAAGAAUGUUUGGGAGAUGAUCAAAGGAGGAUUUUGGUCAUUCUCAAAGUUGAUUACAAGUAUGUACCCAAAUGGGAGAAGACCAGAAAAACUUUGGGCCUGUUGGAGUGCCCCAUCACCGGUGCUGUGAUUGUGGCCACAAAAACCACUCAACAGGACACCAAGCAAUAUUUUCACUGUCCAGAGAAGGAUCUUGUAGAAUAUUCUCUUGUUGGCCUCUACCUUGAUACUGUGCUCCAGCAUACAAGCCAUCAUAUGAAUGAUGACAAGAUCCGCAAGAUUGUUCACAACAUUUUAUGCGAGUGCAAGUCAGAUGAAUUCUGCAUGAAGAUAUUUGCUCAUGCAUUGUACGCUAAACCCAAGAGGGGCAGUGAAGAGUUGAGCAAGUUGCAUGGAUCCUUGCAAGCCAGUGCCGCACAAAAAUCAUUGCCCAGUAGGAUGUUCAAGUUCUCCUACAGGGAUCUACCUAAAGAGUAUAGGUCUUGUUUGUUGUACCUCGCUAUCUUCCCUCCAGGAAAACCCAUCAGGCGGUCAACCUUGAUCGGACGAUGGGUUGCAGAAGGGCUGAUUACCACCAAAGAAUGGCACUGGUCCUCUUCAGUGGAGGAAGCCGAUAAAUGUUUUGAUACACUAGUUGCCCGGUGCCUCGUUUGUCCUGCUGGCAUUGGUGCUACUGGAACGAUCAAGAGCUGCACGGUUCAUAAGACAGUUUAUGGAUUCAUUACCAAGAUCGCCAUGAAGCAGCACAUUCUGGAGACACGGCUGUCACAUCAGUUGGCUCACCACUUCUCUAUUUUCAGCGAUGUUCGUCUCCGCAGCUCUCAAAAGAUCGAAAAUUUCUUGGAAAAGUCAUCUCAGUUCUCCAAGCUCAAGGUGCUAGAUCUAGAGGGCUGUGAUUGCUUCCCGGAGUACCAGCACUACUUGAGGAACAUAUGCAGGAAGAUGCUAAUGCUCAAGUAUCUCUGCCUAAGGCGAACCAAUGUUACCGAGCUGCCCAGUGAAAUAAACAAUCUUCUUGAGCUGGAGGUAUUGGAUAUACGGCAGACCAAUAUUCCUGCGUCUGCAACAAGACAUGUCCUGCUCAGAAAGCUGAAACGUCUGUUAGCUGGUAAUGUUGAUUCAAGCCCUGUUGACUUCCCUGAGAAGAUCAAAAAGUUCAAUGUCAAGCCGCAGAAUCGUCUGAAGCUUCUGUUGGCCGGUCAUGUUGGUUCAAGUACGAGCAGUCGUGCUGACUUCUCCAGUGUUCAGAUCCCUGAGAAGAUCGAGAAAAUGGAGGGAGUGGAGGUACUGUCCAAUGUCAAACCGAAGAAUAACCAGGACUUGAAAGACAUUGGAAGUCUAAAUCAGCUCAAGAAGCUCGGUGUGGCUAUCAACAAGGAGAGUGACCUCCAGCCGUUGCUUGAAGCAAUCAGUGACCUCCUAACCCAGUCCCUCCGUUUUCUGUCAAUUACUCUAGACAUACCUAGACACAAGGGCACUCCAGCAGCUCUCUGUCUGAAAGAAGACUGCCCCAAUGUUCUUGAGAGACUAAGUAUCAAUGAAAGCACUGGCGCACAAAAGGGGCAGCUUCUUAAGAUAUUUUCCGAAAAUGGAAAGCAACUUGCCAAGGUAACUCUAACUGGCACUUUGCUGAGCCAGGAAGAUCUGAAGGUCCUUGCCGAGCUUGAGAACUUACUGUGUCUCAAGCUUCGACACAAUGCAUACACUGAUAGUAAGCUUGUCUUCAACAAGGGUAAAUUCAAAAAUCUUAAGAACUUCCAUGUUGAGGGAACCAGCAUAACUGAAAUCAGAUUUGAUAAUGGGGCUGCUAGUAAGCUCGAGAGGAUCAUCUGGUCAUUCACCAAAAUUGAUUCUCUGUCUGGAAUCGACAAACUUCCUGCAUUAAAGGAGCUGGAGUUGAAUGGUGACACUGUCCCUAAUGCGGUGAAAGAAGACAUCAAAAGACUAAAGAGUAGAUCAGCACAACCGAAGGCCUUCCCUUUACUUCCUCGGUGCAUCAUCAAUUCCUCCCAUGAUUUGGGUUUGUGA